rnacentral:rRNA from 1 species
CAGUAGCCACGGUAAUACGUAGGGUGCAAGCGUUAUCCGGAAUUAUUGGGCGUAAAGAGCUCGUAGGCGGUUUGUCGCGUCUGCUGUGAAAACUGGAGGCCCAACCUCCAGCCUGCAGUGGGUACGGGCAGACUAGAGUGCGGUAGGGGAGAUUGGAAUUCCUGGUGUAGCGGUGGAAUGCGCAGAUAUCAGGAGGAACACCGAUGGCGAAGGCAGAUCUCUGGGCCGUAACUGACGCUGAGGAGCGAAAGCAUGGGGAGCGAACAGGAUUAGAUACCCCAGUAGUCCCUGUCUCUUAUAC